CCAGGCUUAACCGUACUAGAAGGAUGAAGAGCAUAAAAAUGCAUACAAUUAAAUUUACAUAGAUUUGAAUAUAUCUACUGCAUUUGUAUCUCUUCAAUAUAAAUUACCGGCGAGUUUUUACAACAAAUAUACAAAAAUCUUGUCUAAUUUGUCUAACAAAUUUAUUUUUGUAGCUUUAAAAUUUAAAGUAUUCACGACUAACAACGAGAAGCACGGAUUCAGAUGAGAAAACCAUCAUCACCAUGCAUCGUAUCAAAUUUCUUGCCGGGCAGAAGAAUUCUGCUUCAACAGUGUUGUUCCCACCACGUAAGAAGGAACUCGUGUCCUUCUCCCGUGAUGACUAACCUAACCUUCUUAUCCACAAGGGUUUUGGUUAACUGUUUUCCCUUAUAAUAUAAAACAGCUAAACGGAACAGCACUGAACUGCUGGGUCUGGCGGUCGGGGAAGAACCGUUGGCUAUUUCCGCCGUCACGUUGGGCGACCAAGUGGGGGUUGAGGCUCCGCACUCCGCCCACAACCGUCGCCAGCGUUCUUCCCCACUUCCGACCAGCUCAAAACAAAAGUACCAAGCACAAUGAUGGGACGUUCUUUCCAUGGACGAUCUCGGUCGGUGCUCGUACGACAAUUCUAUUUAUUUAUCAAUGUAUUUUAUACGUAAACGACCAAUAUUACUUCAGCCAUGGGCAAGGGCAUACGUUAGGUUGUAUAAAUCAUAAACUUUUAACUAUACGUAACGCUUGGUUCCCUUAGUAGUAAUCGUGCCAUUGCUGCAUUAUUGCUGAUGAUUGACAAAUAAAUGCUGAAUAAAAACAAGGUAAAUUAUUGUACAUUGUCGUACUCGGUACUCGGUGGGGUCAUUGGAUGUACCAGAAUGCAAAACCACCUACUCACAUCUCCACCCAUGUGGAAAAAUAGGGAGAAAUUUCGCAGAGGAGUUUACAAAAAGUUUUGCAACAUAGGCACCAUCACUGCAAUAUGCGCCGGAGUUAGUUUCACCCUUCUUGGAAAUUAUAGGAUUGCAGAUAUAGCUUUCCAGUGUACCAAAUUUUUGUCAGUGUGGAGUAUGGGGCAGAUGGUCAUUCAGAGCAUCAUGAUGUUGAUUAACAUAAAGAACGUCCUCGUUGGACAAGGUCACGAACGUCAUCAGCCGCAACAGAUUAUUCCAGAAGACUACAUGUCCCCAACAGAAAUGUACACCAAUCAGUACGGUCGACAAAAUAUCUACGGAGUUGUGGAUGAAUUGGACAGCUUUGACUAAAUGGCGAGAGUUUAUGAAAUUGGCAUACAUGAAAUGACACUUCAAGACUUUAAAUUCAAGGAAAGUGGACCAGCAUAUACCAGAAAAAAGAUAUUCAUCAUCGAAUAUCCAUUAAAAAAAUGUCCGUGUUAAGACUGGAAAGUUUGAGAUGCAUAUAUUCUUUAUCACAUGCUAAUCAUAAUAACUAAUAAUAAUAAUUCUUGUACAUAGAUCCUAAUAAAGUUCAAAUACUAUAAAGAAAUAAAAUAAUAUCGAUUUGACUAUAGGAGUCAUUUAAAAA